rnacentral:rRNA from 1 species
CACGCAGGCGGUCGGAUAAGUCAGAUGUGAAAGCCCCCGGGCGUCAACCUGGGAACUGCAUUUGAAACUGUCCGACUAGAGUCUUGUAGAGGGGGGUAGAAUUCCAGGUGUAGCGGUGAAAUGCGUAGAGAUCUGGAGGAAUACCGGUGGCGAAGGCGGCCCCCCUGGACAAAGACUGACGCUCAGGUGCGAAAGCGUGGGGAGCAAACA